rnacentral:rRNA from 1 species
GACGAACGCUGGCGGCGCGCCUAACACAUGCAAGUCGAACGAGCGAGAGAGAGCUUGCUUUCUCAAGCGAGUGGCGAACGGGUGAGUAACGCGUGAGGAACCUGCCUCAAAGAGGGGGACAACAGUUGGAAACGACUGCUAAUACCGCAUAAGCCCACGACCCGGCAUCGGGUAGAGGGAAAAGGAGCAAUCCGCUUUGAGAUGGCCUCGCGUCCGAUUAGCUAGUUGGUGAGGUAACGGCCCACCAAGGCGACGAUCGGUAGCCGGACUGAGAGGUUGAACGGCCACAUUGGGACUGAGACACGGCCCAGACUCCUACGGGAGGCAGCAGUGGGGAAUAUGGCACAAUGGGGGAAACCCUGAUGCAGCGACGCCGCGUGGAGGAAGAAGGUCUUCGGAUUGUAAACUCCUGUUGUUGAGGAAGAUAAUGACGGUACUCAACAAGGAAGUGACGGCUAACUACGU